AAAAUGGCCGACGGAGGCUAUUUAGCCGCGCCCGCCGCCCCUCCCUCGUGACCCACCCGCGCCGGGCAUCCUGGGACAUGUAGUUUCCUGGGGGCGGCAGAGGCCAUCCAACCUGGGGCCGGCGGGCUUAUGGGACCGCAAUUCCCGGCAGGGAGCACGCCCUCCGGCGCCGGUGGCCGGGCGGGGAAGGGUUCAGGGGGCUGCGGAGACGUCCGGACAGAGCCAGCGGGUUUUGGGGACUGUGCGCUCCCCGCGCUCGGGCGCUCUCCUUGACUCCCUUUCUCUCGCCAAACAGCGGCGGCGCCAAGGGGUCAGUAUGGGGGGACAUUCUUCGUUAGUCCCCGUCGAGGCCUGGGGUAGUAUAAGUAAAACCAGGGUGCAGAAGCAAAACAAGUACCCUGGCCCUGGCUUUCGACUCGUCAGCUGCCGCUCAUCACCUCCUGCGUCGCAGUACCGUCCCCCCCUCUGACCCCGGCCCCUGGCCCCAGUGGCGCGAGCCACGUUAGUCCCCACGGGGGCUGGAGGUGAGAGGGCCCCCUGACCACCCCCAACCCCCGCCCCGGGUUGGUCUGCCCUCCGAGUCCCGAGCGCGGUGGCUCUCAAACUCCAGCGUGCCUCUCGCGGAGGGCUUGGUAAAACACGGACUGAUGGACCUCAGAGCUUCUGUUUCAGGUCUGCGGUGUGACCCGACAAUUGGCAAACCUAACAAGCUGCCAGGAGAUGCAGGUGCUACUGGUCUGGGAACACACCGCAGAAUCACUGCCCCGCUUCACCAGGGCCCGACAUCCAGCGGGGGCCGGGAUGUGUCGUCCGAACAUACCAAAAAACCAGCCUGUCAGCUUGGACACGGAACCUUGAAUAGGGUGAGGAAACUGAGACUCAAGAAGUUUAAACACAGAAAAAUGUUUAUUACUUCUUCAAGAACGCAUAGCCAGUAAGUGGCAUAGUCAGAAUUUGAACCCAGAGGCCACGUGGCAGGGCAGAUGUCCAUCAACUGCCUUGGGCUGAUCACAUAUUCGCAAUAAACAACGGGGACCGGCGGGGCCUAUGGAAGUUUUAAAGGGAAGACUUGAUCACAUUUCACCUUGUUUACUGUCUGCCUUGUAAACAACACACCUGGACUCUCACCCUGAAACUGGAAGCGGAGUUCCUAAAGUUCAAGUUUAAAAAGUCUGAAAUCCAAUCAACAUUCUUUGGCUUUUUAUAAUUUGGUUAUAUAUGUUAGAGGGUUGACAUCCAGCUGAUGUCCACAACUGCAUGCAUACAUGUUAAAUUAUUAAACUACUUUCAUGCCGGUUGGCAAAUAGGUACUGCCCAGCCUUCUCAGCACCUACUUCUAAUUUGGACCUCUUAGACCACUGCCUGAACAAGCAGCUGAAAGGCAGAUGCCUGGCAGCAGGGCCUUCCUGGAUCUGGUCAUGAUCCACUUUUAAAAUUAGGCGUUUGAGCUCACAGUGUUCAUUUUCCCAGCAAUGUGUUUAUUGCUGCCCAAUUUUUGUCAGUGGUUUGACGGAAACGCGGUGGAGGGUGAUGUUCUAGAUUUUCCAGAGUCCAACCCUGGAUCAAAUCAGGUCAGCAGAGGAACUGAGAAUGUGUAUUUCAUUUCAGUUUGUUCCUGCCACCUGCCACCCUCUCGAGAACUGGUCUUGCUGAGUUGUGUGUGGGGGUGAUGUCAUCAGCCUGUGCUGAGAGCCAGGGGAGGAAAUGGCAGAAAUGACACUCACUGUCGUCUGUCUUACAGAAUGUUGUCAACCUGUGUUGCUUUGUAUCACAGUGUCUAUUUAGAAGAAUCCUCAGAGACUUGCCUAACUGGUCUUAGAAGCAAAAACAGUUAUAUUACUCCUGGAAAGCUGUUCUUUUUCAUCUGAGAAACCUGUCCGUCAGUGUCCAGUUUUCUUUUCUCCCUGUCUUUGUAAGUGUACUUACAAUCAUUCUGGAAUGAAGCAAAGAAACAAAGGAAGGAAGGAAGGGAGCAAAUACUUCAAGUUAUGAAAAAUCGAAGCAGAUAGAUGAUCAAAGGAACCCAAAUACACAGGCAUUUUGUGUUUUUUUUCCUCAGCGAAAUUUCAACAUUAACUUAUCACAGAUUUAUACUGAGUAAUAAUUAUGUACUUUGCUUUUCAAAGCUCUGAAGUACAAAUACUAAGUACCUGAAGAGGAUAUUCUCUUUAAGUGCCAAGUCUACAGACUUCUAAGCUCUUUUUUUUUUUUUUUUUAAGAUUUUAUUUGUUUAUUUGACAGAGAGAGAGAGACAGGGAGAGAGGGAACACAAGCAGGGGGAGUGGGAGAGGGAGAAGCAGGUUUCCCGCAGAGCAGGGAGCCCAAUGCAGGGCUCAAUUCCAGGACCCUGGGAUCGUGACCUGAGCCAAAGGCAGAUACUCAACAACUGAGCCACCCAGGCACCCCCUAACCUCUUCUUACCACCAUGUUUUUAGAAAUACCCAGCACAGUUAGGGCUUUGUAGAAUGAUAUUUGGACACUUGGCUUUCAUUCAAAGGUAGGCAUAAUAAAAAUGUCUUUGUAGGCUUUGUCCCGAUUUGCCUUUUGCCAAACAGGGAAAGUCUGUUGUUCAUAAGUUCCAUAAACAUGUAAUCUAGGCAUACCCAAGCACUGUGUCUUCUGAGAUUACGGUUUCUUUUUUUCCUUUUGUUAAUAAACUAAUUCAAGUCUCAUCCCACGUAAUUGUGGGCCAUCCUGUACCCUACCUACGAUUUCCAAGGAUUCUCCAGAGGACUGCAUUCUUUUGAUCCUCUCCUACUUUCAAUUCUUACUCUGGUUGAAUUCUUUGCCCCAAAGAAUUCUUUGCUUCUCCUCCCUUACUUCCCUAAACAUUGCUAACACAGGGUUAUAGUGUGUAGCACUUUUAUGGAAAAAUUGGAGAGAACCCAAGAGGCACACAGGCUGGGGAUCAACUUCCAAGUUCAGGGUUAGGUAUGGUUGCCUCCCCCUGAGACUCCUCCCCCUGUCAUGUCACUCUUCCUCUCCCUGUGUUCUGGGCAAGGAAGCCACUCACCAGGAGAAGAUGAACAUUUUCUAGUACCUUAUCCUGCAGAGCAUUUUAACUGCCUCCCUCAGACCCCUGCCUAUUUCAGCAGAGAGGCCUUUCUAUGCUGGAGUCUCCUAUUACAUAGUGGCAACAAUAGCAAAGAAUGGCAAUGUUGUAUAUUAUAUUUUGCAUUAAGUUCUGGAAAAGCAAAUUCUUGGGCAGCAUUCUCCCUUCACCAAGCAGGACCCAUGUGUUCUGGGGACCUUCUGGUUUGUGGGGAGAAAUCUGGAAUCUGUAGUAUAUUAGACACUUUUUCCAGGUAUUUUUGGGCUGUUAGUAGGGUAGCUAAUCAAAAAAGUCUGGUAAAGAUCUAUAGCAGUGAUAGACAUACUAUGUUUUGUAUUUUACUAAAAUACAGAAUUUGAUAAUCUUGCAAAUUGGGCUAAGGCCUUUUUUUGAUUAUUGGCUUACUAAUUGGAGUUCCCUGGUAUCACAUUCUACCUAUAAUACAUUGGUUACAGUGUCCUGUUUUUGUGUAUUUAUUUAUUAAGAUCUAUUAUUUAUUUAUUUUAGAAAGAGAGAUACUGUUGUGGGGGAGGGGCAGAGGGAGAAGUAGCGAGAGUUUUAAGUAGACUCACCGCUGAGCAGGGAGCCAGGCGAGGUGAGGCUUAACCUCAUGACCCUGACAAGGUCAUGAGCCAAAACCAAGAGUCAGACACAUAACUGACUGUGCCACCAAGGCACCCUUGGUUUUGUGUAUUUAAAAUAAGAGUUUUUUUCAAGCUGUCAGUGCAAAAUAUAUCUAGAUUUUUAUGGCUACUUCCUGCCAAUAUUUGUUGGCUUUAUUUGCACUUUUCUUGACCAAAAUUCUCUUAGCAGUUUGCUUUUAUCUAAUUUUUCCAAAGUAGUCAAUAUAUUUCUCCUAGAAGUGACAACCGUAUUUCUUUUUGCGCUCAUUUAAUCAGUUUCAUUUUAUUGGAAUUAAAUAAUUACAGUAACGUAAAAUUGCACGCACAGAUUUGGGAGCAAACAUAACUGACUCCUGGUAAGCAUGUGUUUCACGUGGUGGAGGCAAGGUGUGUCAGGGCCAGACUAGGCAGCAGCAUCGGGGCAGGGGGACAUUCUACAGAAGGAAGGUGGUGAUUGGCUUGGAGCGUUGGUUAGUGAGGGUCCAUUAUGGGAGCUUCUCUCUGAGUAGAUUAAUAUUAAUAGCCAAAGGCCCAAGGGCUACCUCUGUCUACCAGGUAUAUGACUUCAUGGAUGUAACAUCAUCUCUCUAAAUCUCAAUUUCAUUUGUAAAUUAUGGAAGAAAAAAAAGAAUGCCAAACCUACCUGCUAGGAAGAUCAAAUGAAAUAAUGUAUGUAAAGCUCUUUAGAAAUAGUAAAAUGCUGUAAAAAACAAAAAUGUUUUUGUUACUAUAGGUUUUUGUUUUUGUUUUUUCAUUCACAGUAUUUGAUAGCUAUGGGGAAAUAUUUGUUUGGACUCUCUCCUACCUUUCCUUUGUUUAUGAUGAUUGAUAUUCUUGAUUUUUAGCUUAACUGGAGCCAUAUGUGAUGUGGAGAGGCUAAGUCCCCUGUAAAUUGUUGUCCUGAUAAUGAGUUGAAUUUUCCCAAAUAUAAAUAACAGCCUUUCCGGAUUUCCAUUUAAGAAAUAAGUUUGGUUCCAGUUAGAAACCAAGACAUGUGAUGGUUCAUCUGGCAAUGUUAAGGCCCCCAGACAGAAGCAAGACUUGUUCCCUAUACUAUACAUAUAUUUCAAUGUUUGAAACUUAAGACUCUGAUGGUAUUAUCUAAGCAAACAACCAUUCUGGCUAAAAAUGUCCAAACCAGAGAGUUUUUAUAUAUAUAUUAUUUCAUUAAAUGAAGGUAAAUAAAGUAGGUGUUAUUAUCUUAUGUUUACAUAGCAGGAAGUUAAGGCUACGAGGGGUUAAGAAUCUUGCUCACACUCACAUAGCAUGUAGUAAGUGUUUGGGCUGAGCCUUGAAUCCAGGGCUUCCAGUCCAAAUCUCAUGAUGUCUUGUAUGUAAACUCUCUCAUACAGAAAUUGGAUAAAUAUACCUAAAUGAUUCACAGACUGGAGCAAACAGAAAUAAUUACAGAGUGUCUGAAAAGUCAAAAAACAUAAGGAUGAAUUCAUUUUUAGAAGCACAUUUUUAGAAGUAUUAAUUACAUUUUCAAAUAAUAUACUCUUAGGAUAUUUUUUCAACUCCCAGAAAAUAUUUCAGGUGAAAUACCUCUAAGCCUAAAGCAAUAGGUCCAAUCUAUUUUUUAUUCUGAAAAAGUACAAUGAAUAUACUGUUUAUGUUUCUAGACCUUUUGGACACCCUGUUGUGUCCAGGUCAGUUAGAAAAAUUAGUAAAAAAUCUCAACUUACUAUUAUGAGUGUCUGAUGGUUGUAUUAGCAACAAGUGAUAUAAAUGAAAUACUUGAAACAUUAUUAAGUGAGAACAAUUUAAUUCUUUUAUUUAUCACUGAAAAUAGUAGAAUUCUAUUACAGCAGAACUCAUUAUUAUGAAUAUUUGCAUAGGCCAAAAAUAAAAGCAUGUCUCUAGAAACCUACUUAAUCUACAAUAGGAACUUGAAUGACACAGGUCAUUAAAAGUAAUCAUGAUAAUACAAAGUUAUACAAUCUUUAAAAAGAAAGGGAUAGUAAUUGGCUCAGGGUGGCUAACUCAGCAACUUUACCAUCAAAAAGUCCCUGAUGAUGUCAGACAAGAUAUAUUUUGAGGCAGAGUAAGUCUAGCACCGGACAAGAAGGUAUACCAUCUAUGGAUUAGACAGUUCCUUCCUCUGAAGGAAAAACAGAUGGAAAUCAAUUGAUGGAAUAAGCUGCAUGUUUAAAUAGUGGCACUACUGGAUUCUCAAAGAUCAUGGAAUACUUUCAAACUUUGGAGAUUUUGAACCCAAAGUCUUAUAUUUAAGUAAAAGAAUAUGCAAGAAAGAAGGCAAAAUAAAGGCCUUUAAAGCAUUUUUAAAGCAUUCAAGACCUGAGAAAGUUUUCUUCCAUAGGCAAUAUUGAUGACACAGUCCAGAAAAAUUAAAAGCCCAAAGAAAAGAAAGAAAUGGGACAAAAGAAAUAUAAGUAUAUAAAGAAACCAAUAAAAAUUUUGGUUGUGUCUAAAUAAUAUUGGUAUGUAAUGAGAGUGAAAUAUUUUAUGGGUAAUUUCUAGAAGAAUAGAAAUUUAAUGCACUUUUUAAUCCAAUAAAAGGCAGGAAAAAGGAUAAAAGCAAGAAGAAGUCGUGUAGCAAAUUAAAAACAUUAAAUUGUAAUGAAGUAGAAAGUACAUAAUUAUCAGUAAUCACAAAAAAUAUGAACGUUAUAUUUUUCAGUUAUAAUACCUUAAUUAAAACCUCUGGUUUCAAUUAAAUUAAAUUAAAAAGGGUUGCAAAGGGGUGCCUGGGUGGCUCAGUGGGUUAAGCUUCCUAAUCCUGAUUUUGGCUCAGGUCAUGAUCUCAGGGUUGUGAGACUGAGCCACAAGUUGGGCUCCCCUCUCAGCAGUGCAGUCUGCUUGAGAUUCUCUCUCUUGUUCUCCUUCUGCCCCUCCUCCCUGCAUUCUCUCUCUCCCCUUAAAAUAAAUUAAUAAUAAUAAUAAUAACUAAAAAUAAUAAAAUAAAUAUUUUUAAAAAUGUUUGCAAAACUUUAGCUUCUAUUUAUGACAUAUUUAGGGUCAAAUGAUAAAGAGAGAUUGAAAAAGUUAUUGCAAGCAACUGCUAAUUGAAAAGUAGGGUAUAGGGCACCUGGGUGGCUUAGUUGGUUAAGUGACUGCCUUCGGCUCAGGUCAUGAUCCUGGAGUCCUGGGAUUGAGUCCCACAUGGGGCUCCCUGCUUAGCAGGGAGUCUGCUUCUCUCUCUGACCCUCCCCCCUCUUGUGCUGUCUCUCUCUCAUUCUCUCUCUCUCAAAUAAAUAAAUAAAAUCUUAAAAAAAAAAAAGAAUUCCCUGAUGUUUAAAAAAAAAAAAGAAAAGUAGAAUGUAAUAAUGUUAUCAGGAAAAAUGAAUUCAAGAAGCAUCAUAUUAAAUGAAUUCAAGAAGAAUCAUAUUAAACAGAACAAAGAAGAAUAGUUCAUAUGGAUUCAAAUUAUAUCAAGCCACAAAUGAGUCAUAAACUUUUAUAUCCCUAAUAACUUGGCAAAAUGCACAUAGAGCAAAAGGGGAGAAAAAUAUGGAGAAAUUGAUAAAUUUGCAGUCUUAAUGAGAUAUAGAAAUGCAUCUACUUCAAAAAUGGACAGAUAAACAAAAAUUAAGUAAAGAUAUAACUGAUUUUAGUAGUAUAAUUAACACAUUUGGCCCAAAAGGCAUGUGUAAAACUUUGCACCUGAUGUAAAGCGUACUAAUUGUUUUCAAACACCUAUGGCAUGUUUAUAAAAAUCUAUCAUAUGUAUCUCAUAAAAAGACUCUCCACAAAAUUUAAAAUAUAGAAAUCAUAUAGGGUAUAUUAUUUGACCAAAAAUCAAAAUUCACAAAAGAAGGUAGCCAAAACAAACUAUUUACUUAGAAUUUUUUUUUAUUAUGGUAUGUUCGUCACCACACAGUACUUCAUUAGUUUUUGAUGGAGUGUUCCAUGAUUCAUUAUUUGCAUGUAACACCCAGUGCUCAUUGUAAUACGUGCCCUCCUUAAUACCCAUCACCGGGCUAACCCAUCCCCCCACCCCCCUCCCCUCUGAAUCCCUCAGUUUGUUUCCCGGAGUUCAUAGUUUCUCUUGGUUCAUCUCCCCCUCUGAUUUCCCCACCUUCAUUUUUCCCUUCCUUCUCCUAAUGUCCUCCAUGAUAUUCCUUAUGUUCCACAUAUAAGUGAAACCAUAUGAUAAUUGUCUUUCUCUGCUUGACUUAUUUCACUUAGCAUAAUCCCCUCCAGUUUCAUCCAUGUCAAUGCAAAUGGUGGAUAUUCAUCCUUUCUGAUGGCUGAGUAAUAUUCCAUUGUAUAUAUGGACCGCAUCUUUAUCCAUUCAUCUGUUGAAGGGCUUCUUGGCUCCUUCCACAGUUUGGCUAUUGUGGACAUUGCUGCUAUGAACAUUGGGGUGUUACUUGGAAAUUUUAAAAAGCAUAUACUUCUAAUUAAUUCUUGGACGAAAUAGGAAAUCAAAAUUGAAUUUAUAAAUUAUUAAAGAAUUGAUUUUUAAAGCAAUAUACAUCCAAACUUAGGGAAUAUAGCUAAAGCAGCAUUAGGGAAAAUGUGUAGCAUUACUCAUACUUAUGAGAGAACAUGGCAAAUAAAUGGACUAUAUUUUCAACUCAAGUGCUAGAAAAAGAACAAAAUAAGUCCAAAAAUUUGGGGGGAACCCCAAAAUAAUAAAGAGAAAAGCAAAAGUUAAUAAGUUAGGAAAAACAAGAGUAGUUGAUUGGUAUAACUUAUUGAUCAGUAAGAAGCCAAAUUUUGGUUCUUUUAAAAAACUUUUAAAAUAGACAAACACUUGGCAGUUGUAAUCAAGAAAAAGGGAGGGAGCAUCUGAGUGGCUUAUUCAGUUAAGCAGUUAAACAUCUGCCUUUAGCUCAGGUCAUGAUCUCAGGGUCCUGGGAUGUAGCCCUGCAUCAGGCUCCCUGCUCAGUGGGGAGUCUGCUUCUCCCUCUCCCUCUGCUUCUCCCCCUACUUGUGUUCCCUCCCUCUCUCUCUCAAAAAUAAAAUCUUAAAAAAAAAAAGAAAGAAAAAGGGAGAAGCUUUAUAAAGAUAACCUUGAUAAUAAGGAAGAGAUGUAACUACAGAUACAGAUAACUUAAAAAAUUAUGAGAAUUCUGUGCUUGUCUUUAUAGGAAUAAAUGUAAAAGUCUAAAUGCAAGGAUGAUUUCCCAUAAAUCCCUAUAAUUGGUUUAUAAGAAUUUAGAAGGUAGAAUAUAUCUUUUCCUAAAAAAGGAACCUAGCCCAAAUAGUUUUGAAUAGUCAAGUUCAUUACACAUCAAAAUUCCCAUGUUACAUAAAAUGUCAAAAGCAUAGAAAAAGAUAGAAAUCUUCGUAACUUAUUUUAGAACUCCAAAAGCAAAGAUGAUGUAAAAGAAAUAGUUUAUAAUAGCAUCAAAACUAAUAAAAUACUUAGCAAUAAAUUUAACAAAAUAAGAGCAAAAUUUGUACUUUUAGAACGAUGUAACAUUCUUGAAGGACGUUAAGUAUUAAAUGGAGAAACAUCUUAUGCUCAUGGAUCAAAAGACUUAAUAUUGUUAAGGUGGUAAUCUACUCCCAAACUAAUCUACAGAUUCAACACAAUACCCAUUAAAGUUCCAGUGGGCUUCUUUGCAAAAAUUGAAAAGCUGAUCCUAAAAUUCAUAUGGAAAUUUAAAAAUUCAUAUUUAAGAAAUGUAAGUAGCUAAAACAAUCUUGAAAAAGAACAGCAAAGUUGGAAGAUUCAUACUCCUGAUUUUAAAUUUACUCCAAAACUACAGUAGUCAGGACAAUGUGGUACUGGCAUAGGAUAGACAUCUAGGUCAGUGGACUGGAACUCAGAGCUCAGAAAAAAACCCCUUAAAUUGGGGCUCCUGGGUGGCUCAGUCAGUGGUUAAGCGUCUGCCUUCCACUCAGGUCGUGACCCCAGGGUCCUGGGAUCAAGCCCCACGUCGGGCUCCUUGCUCAGCAGGAAGCCUGCUUCUCCCUCUCCCGCUCCCCGUGCUUAUGCUUGUGCUCUCUCUCUCUCUGUCAAAUAAAUAAAAUCUUAAAAAAAAAAACCCCCAAACCCUUAAAUUUAUGGUCGAUUGAUUUUUUGACAAUGGUGACAAGACAAUUCAAUGGAGGAAAGAAUAGUUUUUUCAAACUAUUUGUGUUGGGACAACUGGAUAUUCACAUGCAAAAGAAUGAAGUUAAACUCUUAACUCACAUUAUACACAAAAAUCAAUUCAAAAUGGACCAUAAAGCUAAAGAUAAGAGCUAAAACUAGAACAUUCCUAGAAGAAAGCAUAAGUGUAUAUGUUCAUAGCAUUGGAUUAGGCAAUGGUUUCUUUUUUUUUUUUUUUUAAGAUUUUAUUUAUUUAUUUGACCCAGAGAGAGAGAGAGUGAGAGCAGGAACACAAGCAGGGGGAGUGGGUGAGGGAGAAGCAGGCUUCCCGCUGAGCAGGCGGCCCAAUGUGGGGCUCGAUCCCAGGACCCUGGGAUCAUGACCUGAGCCGAAGGCAGAUGCUUAACGACUGAGCCACCCAGGCGCCCCUAGGAAAUGGUUUCUUGGGUAUGACACAAAAGCACAAAUAAUGAAAGAAGAAAAGAUAAAUUGGGCUUCAUCAAAAUUAAAAAAACUUUUGGGCUUGAAAGGACACCAUCAAGAAAGUGAAAUGGUAGGUAACCCACAAAUUGGAAGAAACUAUUUGCAAAUCAUAUAUACCUGAUAAGAGAGUUGUAUCCAGAAUACAUAAGGAA